rnacentral:rRNA from 1 species
GUGGGGAAUCUUCCGCAAUGGACGAAAGUCUGACGGAGCAACGCCGCGUGAGUGAAGAAGGUUUUCGGAUCGUAAAGCUCUUUCGUUAGGGACGAACGUGCUCUUUGUGAAUAAUGAGGAGUAAUGACGGUACCUAAAUAAGAAGCCACGGCUAACUACGUGCCAGCAGCCGCGGUAAUACGUAGGUGGCAAGCGUUGUCCGGAAUUAUUGGGCGUAAAGCGCGCGCAGGCGGGAUAUCAAGUCUGUCUUAAAAGUGCGAGGCUCAACCUCGUGAGGGGACAGAAACUGGUAUUCUUGAGUGUCGGAGAGGAAAGUGGAAUUCCAAGUGUAGCGGUGAAAUGCGUAGAGAUUUGGAAGAACACCAGUGGCGAAGGCGACUUUCUGGACGAUGUCUGACGCUGAGGCGCGAAAGCUAGGGGAGCGAACGGGAUUAGAUACCCCAGUAGUCC